CGACUAUGGAGUCUACCAAGGCUGCUGAAAGACCCAUUGUGACAUCAGCAACUUCAAAUCUGGACACCUGUGUUGGAGCAGGCACUGCACUGCACCACUCGUGACCCUCCAGGCUCAUGAAGAUGGGGAAGGAAAGGAUAGAUUUUUUUUAGGUAGUCAGAUGAUAAACCAAGGAGGGGUCAGCACCCUGAACUAGAGGACUGUGACUGCAAGAAUGAUCAAAUCCCACCAGACACUGAUAUAAUGUGGGAUCUGCUGCUUCACCUGGAUGCCUACCAAUCCAUGGGGUCUCAUGGGACUCAUCCAAAAAUCCUCAGAGUUAGCUGAUGUCAUAAAAUCUCUCCUGAUGAUUUUUGAGCAGUCUUGGGAACCAAGAAAGGUCCUAGCUGAUGGAAGCUGGUGACCAUUGUCCUGAUUUCCAAGAAGGGCAAGGCCUGUCAGUCUCACUUCAGUGCCUGGCAAGGUUAUACGGAAGAUUAAUCUCACAGUAUUGAAAAACACCUGAAAAACAAUACAGUCAUUGGUCACAGCCAGCACAGCUUCAUGAGAAGAAAGUACUGCCUUCCUUUUAUGACAAAAUAACCCACCUUAUGGGUUCCUUUGAUCACGAGAAGCCAGUGAAUGCACUCUUUUUGGAUUUCAGAAAAGCUUUCAAUGGUGCCUCUCCCAGUGUCCUUCUGGACAAAAUGUGCAGCACACAGCUGGAUAAACACAUUAUGGUAUGGGUGAGCAACUGGCUCACAGGUCAGGCAUGAGGGUGAUAGUGAAUGGGGUGACAACAGACUGGUGACCUGUCACCAGUGGGGUUCCAGAGGGCUCCAUUCUUGACCUUGUGCUCUUCAGCAUCUCCAUAAAUGACUUGAACUCAGGAGUGGAAGGAGGAGCUGCUGACUUCCUCAAAGACAGGGUGACCCUACAGAGAGACCUUGGCAUACUGGAGAACUGGGCAAUCACGAACCAUAUGAAGUUCAACAAAGGAAAGCGGCAGAUUCUGCACCUGGGAUGGGACACCCUGGGCAACAAGAGCCUGGAGAGCAGUGCCUUUGAAAGUACCACAGAACUAAAUGCAGUACCAUUAAUUUGGAAGAUGGAAAAAGCAGUAAAGAAGAGCAUAGAAAAGGGAAAAUAAAGUUUUAUUUGAUUCUUUUAGAAACAUGCUAAAA